GUCCACGCAGUAAACGAUGAUUACUAGCUGUUUGCGAUAUACAGUAAGCGGCUGAGCGAAAGCGUUAAGUAAUCCACCUGGGGGAGUACGUUCGCAAGAAUGAAACUCAAAGGAAUUGACGGGGGCCCGCACAAGCGGAGGAACAUGUGGUUUAAUUCGAUGAUACGCGAGGAACCUUACCCGGGCUUGAAAUGCAUCUGACAGGAGCAGAGACGCUCUCUCCCUUCGGGGCAGAUGUGUAGGUGCUGCAUGGUUGUCGU
rnacentral:rRNA from 1 species